GGGGGACAUGGAAAGACAUCAGUUUCUGUAUUUUUUUGUGGGAAAACAGAAACAGAACCAAGGAGGGGGGAUUGAACAAAUCAUUUUCAUAUUGUCAUUUGAAAGGGGGAAAAAAAGAAAAGAGACGAGGGAAGGGAGGAGAGGAGAAUGAAUCAGAAAAGAGUUGAAACAAGAUAGAAUGAGAGAGAUUUGAGGUGCAUGGAUGCUAGAAAUGGAAGGAUUGACAGCUGGCAACUCCAGGGCCAAUGGCUUGGUCAGAUUUUUGUGAUUUCUGGCGACAGUGAUAACAUUUGCAGCAUGUUGUGGCUUUUAUUGGCAAGGGAACUAGACGGCAGAGGCUUGGGAGGCAUUUCUCACACCUUGCAUUGCACAAAAGUUGUGUGUGCCUCUGUGGUUUUGUCCACCUCAUCCCUGUAGAUGUGCUGGCCCUAGGGCCUGGUGCGCCUUAAACAAUUAUGCCUUCCACCGACCACUCGUAUGUGGAACAGACCAUGCAUCUUACACCCCUCUAUUCAUUCUUGUCUGGACUGUGUCAUACUCAUACACUUCACAAGGCGACAGAAAAUCC
rnacentral:misc_RNA from 1 species